rnacentral:rRNA from 1 species
UGAGUACGAGACGCUAAGGCGUCGAAGUAGUGGAUGUCAUACUUCCAAGAAAAGCUUGCACUGUCAUAAAUAAAAGACGCCUGUACCAUAACCGACACAGGUGGGUAGGUAGAGUAUACUAAGGGGCGCGAGAUAACUCUCUCUAAGGAACUCGGCAAAAUAACUCCGUAACUUCGGGAGAAGGAGUGCCUUAUUCGUAAGGCUGCAAUAACAAGAUCCAAGCAACUGUUUAUCAAAAACACAGGUCUCCGCUAAGUCGUAAGACGAUGUAUGGGGGCUGACGCCUGCCCAGUGCCAGAAGGUUAAAGAAGUCGGUUAGCAUUAGCGAAGCUGGUAACUGAAGCCCUGGUGAACGGCGGCCGUAACGAUAACGGUCCUAAGGUAGCGAAAUUCCUUGUCGGGUAAGUUCCGACCCGCACGAAAGGCGUAAUGAUUUGGAUACUGUCUCGGAGAGGGGCUCGGUGAAAUAGACUUGUCUGUGAAGAUGCGGACUACCUGCACCAGGACAGAAAGACCCUAUGAAGCUUUACUGUAACUUGAAAUUGAAAUUGGACUUUAUUCGCGCAGUAUAGGUGGGAGGUGUUGAUUAUAAUCUUGCGGGAUUAUUGGAGCCAUCAGUGAGAUACCACUCUUGUAAUGUUAGAUUUCUAACUUUGAAUCAUUAUCUGGUCAAAGAACAGUUUCAGGCGGGCAGUUUGACUGGGGCGGUCGCCUCCUAAAUGGUAACGGAGGCGUACAAAGGUUUCCUCUGAACGGGUAGAAAUCGUAUCUAGAGUGUAAAGGCAUAAGGAAGCUUGACUGUGAGACCUACAAGUCGAGCAGGGACGAAAGUCGGUCUUAGUGAUCUGACGGUACUGAGUGGAAAGGCCGUCACUCAACGGAUAAAAGUUACUCUAGGAUAACAGGCUGAUCUCCCCCAAGAGUUCACAUCGACGGGGAGGUUUGGCACCUCGAUGUCGGCUCAUCGCAUCCUGGGGCGGUAGUACGUCCCAAGGGUUGGGCUGUUCGCCCAUGAAAGCGGUACGCGAGCUGGGUUCAGAACGUCGUGAGACAGUUCGGUCCAUAUCCGGUGUAGGCGUUAGAAUAUUGAGAGGAGCCUUCUUUAGUACGAGAGGACCGAGAAGGACAUACCUCUGGUGUACCAGUUAUCGUGCCAACGGUAAACGCUGGGUAGCUAUGUAUGGAGUGGAUAACCGCUGAAAGCAUCUAAGUGGGAAGCCCACCUCAAGAUAAGUAUUCUCAUC